UACGUAGGGUCCGAGCGUUUGUCCGGAAUUAUUGGGCGUAAAGAGCUCGUAGGCGGUUUGUCGCGUCUGCUGUGAAAUCCCGAGGCUCAACCUCGGGUCUGCAGUGGGUACGGGCAGACUGGAGUGCGGUAGGGGAGAAUGGAAUUCCUGGUGUAGCGGUGGAAUGCGCAGAUAUCAGGAGGAACACCGAUGGCGAAGGCAGCUCGCUGGGACGGUACUGACGCUGAGGCGCGAAAGCGUGGGGAGCAAACAGG
rnacentral:rRNA from 1 species